rnacentral:rRNA from 1 species
CCCAAGAGAUCGGGAUAACACCUGGAAACAGAUGCUAAUACCGGAUAACAACAGAUGAUGCCUAUCAACUGUUUAAAAGAUGGUUCUGCUAUCACUCUUGGAUGGACCUGCGGUGCAUUAGCUAGUUGGUAGGGUAACGGCCUACCAAGGUGAUGAUGCAUAGCCGAGUUGAGAGACUGAUCGGCCACAUUGGGACUGAGACACGGCCCAAACUCCUACGGGAGGCAGCAGCA